rnacentral:misc_RNA from 1 species
GUCUCUAGAAACAGUAAUUCAAAACACAUGUAAAUUCAUACAACACUUUAGUGAAUUUACAACAAACUAUGCAAGAAAACAAGCAUACAAACAAACACUUUUUGAGGAGACUUUAAACAAACCGAAGCAGCAAAAAUGUUAAAUAUAAUGGACUUAGCAAUUCCGGAUCUUGAUAAGAUUACAGCCGGAAUCGCUAAGAACUAUUCAAAAGAUGACACCUCGACGGAAAGCAGCUACACACCGCAGAAGAAAGUCUACAAAAGCAAGCGGCCAAGAAAGAAGAAGAAGAAGAAAAUUGUCUUGAUCAAAAGGAAACUGCAAAUUCCUGAGCCGCCGGUUGUGCCCAAACGGGUUGUGACGGCAGUUACCAGAGCGAAACAAAAAACAGCGAAAAGAAAAACUUCUCAUUUUCUUAAGGCACUGUCAUCAAGUGUAAACGGCAAAGAAACAAGAAAAGAGACGAAGAAAAGGCCCGAAAAACUAUUGAAGGGUGCUGAUGUUAAAAGUGGACAAGAAGGUAAUAAAGCAGGAGGCAUUAAAGAGAAAUUGAAGAAAUCAGGCGCAAAGAAAAGUAAACCUUCUGUUCAGAUGGACAAAGCUUUGGAAGAAUUCAACAGAAGGAAGUCCCAGUUUAUGGCUUCUCUUAGAUUACUUCAGCAACAUUUGUCAAAUUUGAAAAGUGAACAAUUAAAGCUGAGCGUGCCUAAAUCAAAAAUAGGUAGUCCAACAAAAAAACAAAAGGCUGUAAAAAGGAAAAAGAAGACAUCGAAAAAGACCAAAGACGGUUCGACAAGUAGCAAACUCGAUUCUGUCACUAGUACAUCAACUGGUUCUUCGGAUUCAGGUGCAGGUUCCAGUGAAUAUGAAACCGCUUUUGCAUCUGAGCCUGCUUCUAGAGCAGUAACAAGUGAUAAAUACCCUGCCAAAACUUCUAAACCAGUCCUACUUACAAAACAAAGUAAUCCGGAUGGAGAAAGGAUAAAAAAUGACGAUAUCUCUUGUCCUGAACAAAUCCACCUACCGACGUUGAAACUUUUGCAUAGUGUUCAAGACGCUGCCAGUGCCUCAUUAAAUAAAACUAUAGACAAAAAUAUAAAUAAUUUUGUUUCCACCGCCACUACCAGAGCAGAAGUAAAAGUACCACAUGAAACAAAAACAACCAAUGAAAGUGAACAAGCACCGUUUGAGUAUUGUAAAAUAUUUGAACCGAAACCGAUAUCAAAAGAGGUGAUAGAACAAAGAAGAAAAAAGUUAGAUUUUUCACCUGGUCAAAAACUAUUAUUUACAUCAAAACGUCCCUAUGGCAAACCUCCUGUCCGGACAGUUCAAGAGAUAAUAAGAGAAGCGCAGAGACCUUUUAUUCUGGAAUCUGAUUCAAAUAUUACUAUUGAAGAAGAAACAAAGAUCACCAAAUGUCAAUGCAUGGCAAACUGUAUGGGGCAAUCUGUUGCUACGUGUAAUUUAAAAACUUGACCUUUGUUCACGUGUUAUAAUUAUAUUCCAAUAAUGGCUGUGCAUGUACAAUCUAAGUCCAAGAAUAAAACCACAGAAUGUUGUAUUGAUACUGAACAACUGGUUGCCGAGAAAUCAAAAAGGACCUGUAGUGAAAUAAAAUCACCAAAGAAAGACGAAUCGAUCAAGAAAACAAAAACCGAAGAAUUUCCAGUGCAGAAAGAAGAGACAUCUGUGAUAAAG